AUCAAGCUGGACCGCAAAGUACCAGACCGAGAGACAAACUCUGAGGGACUGGGUUUGACUAUGAUCGAGGCAGGAAAUGAACUCGGACCUGGAACCCAGUAUGGUGCAGCCCUGGUUCUGGUGGGCACCACCCAGAAGAAGCUCGGCCAGUUCGAGAAGGAAUUUCUGCAGACGGCCGUCACCAGCUUCAAUAAUCCGCUGCAUAAUUUCCUGGACAAUGAUAUGAAAACUAUCACUGUGACGUCUUAAAGGUGCGUGGAACUUAUUUACAACCGAGCAGCUCAAAACGCAGACACAUAUAACCAUACCACUCAACGGGC